rnacentral:rRNA from 1 species
UGGGGAAUUUUGGACAAUGGGCGAAAGCCUGAUCCAGCAAUGCCGCGUGUGUGAAGAAGGCCUUCGGGUUGUAAAGCACUUUUGUCCGGAAAGAAAUCCUUGGCUCUAAUACAGUCGGGGGAUGACGGUACCGGAAGAAUAAGCACCGGCUAACUACGUGCCAGCAGCCGCGGUAAUACGUAGGGUGCAAGCGUUAAUCGGAAUUACUGGGCGUAAAGCGUGCGCAGGCGGUUUGCUAAGACCGAUGUGAAAUCCCCAGGCUCAACCUGGGAACUGCAUUGGUGACUGGCAGGCUAGAGUAUGGCAGAGGGGGGUAGAAUUCCACGUGUAGCAGUGAAAUGCGUAGAGAUGUGGAGGAAUACCGAUGGCGAAGGCAGCCCCCUGGGCCAAUACUGACGCUCAUGCACGAAAGCGUGGGGAGCAAACAGGAUUAGAUACCCUGGUAGUCCACGCCCUAAACGAUGUCAACUAGUUGUUGGGGAUUCAUUUCCUUAGUAACGUAGCUAACGCGUGAAGUUGACCGCCUGGGGAGUACGGUCGCAAGAUUAAAACUCAAAGGAAUUGACGGGGUCAUAGCUGUUUCCU